CCUAGGGAGGCUGCAGUGGGGAAUAUUGGGCAAUGGGCGCAAGCCUGACCCAGCAACGCCGCGUGAAGGAAGAAGGCUUUCGGGUUGUAAACUUCUUUUCUGAGGGACGAAGAAAGUGACGGUACCUCAGGAAUAAGCCACGGCUAACUACGUGCCAGCAGCCGCGGUAAUACGUAGGUGGCAAGCGUUAUCCGGAUUUAUUGGGUGUAAAGGGAGCGCAGGCGGGAAGCCAAGUCAGCUGUGAAAACUACGGGCUUAACUUGUAGACUGCAGUUGAAACUGGUUUUCUUGAGUGAAGUAGAGGUUGGCGGAAUUCCGGGUGUAGCGGUGAAAUGCGUAGAUAUUCGGAGGAACACCGGUGGCGAAGGCGGCCAACUGGGCUUUAACUGACGCUGAGGCUCGAAAGUGUGGGGAGCAAACAGGAUUAGAUACCCGUGUAGUC
rnacentral:rRNA from 1 species